CUCUGUGACUCCUACGGGAGGCAGCAGUGGGGAAUAUUGCACAAUGGGCGCAAGCCUGAUGCAGCCAUGCCGCGUGUGUGAAGAAGGCCUUCGGGUUGUAAAGCACUUUCAGUUGUGAGGAAGGUGGUGUCGUUAAUAGCGGCAUCAUUUGACGUUAGCAACAGAAGAAGCACCGGCUAACUCCGUGCCAGCAACCGCGGUAAUACGGAGGGUGCGAGCGUUAAUCGGAAUUACUGGGCGUAAAGCGCAUGCAGGUGGUUUGUUAAGUCAGAUGUGAAAGCCCGGGGCUCAACCUCGGAACUGCAUUUGAAACUGGCAGACUAGAGUACUGUAGAGGGGGUAGAAUUUCAGGUGUAGCGGUGAAAUGCGUAGAGAUCUGAAGGAAUACCGGUGGCGAAGGCGGCCCCCUGGACAGAUACUGACACUCAGAUGCGAAAGCGUGGGGAGCAAACAGGAUUAGAUACCCUGGUAG
rnacentral:rRNA from 1 species